UACAGAGGGUGCGAGCGUUGUCCGGAUUUAUUGGGCGUAAAGAGCUCGUAGGCGGUUCGGUAAGUCGGGUGUGAAACCUCCAGGCUCAACCUGGAGUCGCCACUCGAUACUGCUGUGACUAGAGUCCGGUAGGGGAGCGUGGAAUUCCUGGUGUAGCGGUGAAAUGCGCAGAUAUCAGGAGGAACACCAGCGGCGAAGGCGGCGCUCUGGGCCGGAACUGACGCUGAGGAGCGAAAGCGUGGGUAGCAAACAGG
rnacentral:rRNA from 1 species